AUUGAACGCUGGCGGCAGGCCUAACACAUGCAAGUCGAGCGGAUGAAGAGAGCUUGCUCUCUGAUUCAGCGGCGGACGGGUGAGUAAUGCCUAGGAAUCUGCCUGGUAGUGGGGGACAACGUUUCGAAAGGAACGCUAAUACCGCAUACGUCCUACGGGAGAAAGCAGGGGACCUUCGGGCCUUGCGCUAUCAGAUGAGCCUAGGUCGGAUUAGCUAGUUGGUGAGGUAAUGGCUCACCAAGGCGACGAUCCGUAACUGGUCUGAGAGGAUGAUCAGUCACACUGGAACUGAGACACGGUCCAGACUCCUACGGGAGGCAGCAGUGGGGAAUAUUGGACAAUGGGCGAAAGCCUGAUCCAGCCAUGCCGCGUGUGUGAAGAAGGUCUUCGGAUUGUAAAGCACUUUAAGUUGGGAGGAAGGGUAGUAACCUAAUACGUUGCUACUUUGACGUUACCGACAGAAUAAGCACCGGCUAACUUCGUG
rnacentral:rRNA from 1 species